rnacentral:rRNA from 1 species
AACACGUGGGGAACCUGCCCCAUAGUCUGGGAUACCACUUGGAAACAGGUGCUAAUACCGGAUAAGAAAGCGGAUCGCAUGAUCAGCUUUUAAAAGGCGGCGUAAGCUGUCGCUAUAGGAUGGCCCCGCGGUGCAUUAGCUAGUUGGUAAGGUAAAGGCUUACCAAGGCGAUGAUGCAUAGCCGAGUUGAGAGACUGAUCGGCCACAUUGGGACUGAGACACGGCCCAAACUCCUAGGGAGGCAGCAGUC